rnacentral:rRNA from 1 species
UACGGGGGGGGCAAGCGUUGUUCGGAAUUACUGGGCGUAAAGGGCUCGUAGGCGGCCAACUAAGUCGGAUGUGAAAUCCCCAGGCUCAACCUGGGAACUGCAUCCGAUACUGGAUGGCUUGAAUUCGGGAGAGGGAUGCAGAAUUCCAGGUGUAGCGGUGAAAUGCGUAGAUAUCGGGAGGAACACCCGUAGCGAAGGCGGCACUCUGGGCCGGUACUGACGCUGAGGAGCGAAAGCGUGGGGAGCAAACAGG